rnacentral:rRNA from 1 species
GAUGAACGCUGGCGGCGUGCCUAAUACAUGCAAGUCGAGCGAACGGACGAGAAGCUUGCUUCUCUGAUGUUAGCGGCGGACGGGUGAGUAACACGUGGAUAACCUACCUAUAGACUGGGGUAACUUCGGGAAAACGGAGGCAAUAACGGGUGAUAUUUUGAACCGCAUGGUUCAAAAGUGAAAGACGGUCUUGCUGUCACUUAUAGAUGGAACCGCGCUGCAUUAGCUAGUUGGUAAGGUAACGGCUUACCAAGGCAACGAUGCAUAGCCGACCUGAGAGGGUGAUCGGCCACACUGGAACUGAGACACGGUCCAGACUCCUACGGGAGGCAGCAGUAGGGAAUCUUCCGCAAUGGGCGAAAGCCUGACGGAGCAACGCCGCGUGAGUGAUGAAGGUCUUCGGAUCGUAAAACUCUGUUAUUAGGGAAGAACAUAUGUGUAAGUAACUGUGCACAUCUUGACGGUACCUAAUCAGAAAGCCACGGCUAACUACGUG